GAUGAAGAACGUAGCAAAAUGCGAUAAGUAAUGCGAAUUGCAGAAUUCAGUGAGUCAUCGAAUCUUUGAACGCACAUUGCGCCCUGUGGUAUUCCGCAGGGCAUGCCUGUUCGAGCGUCAUUUCAACCCUCAAGCCCCGCUUGGUGUUGGGCCCCGCCCGCCGUGGCCGGCCCUAAAGACAGUGGCGGCGCCGCCUGGCCCUCAGCGUAGUACAGCUCUCGCUCCAGGGUCCGGCGGCCGCCUGCCAGAACCCCCCCAACUCUGUGGUUGACCUCGGAUCAGGUAGGGAUACCCGCUGAACUUAAGCAUAUCAAUAAGCGGAGGA
rnacentral:misc_RNA from 1 species